rnacentral:rRNA from 1 species
CAGCGCCACGGGAAUACGUAGGGUGCAAGCGUUAAUCGGAAUUACUGGGCGUAAAGCGUGCGCAGGCGGUUAUAUAAGACAGAUGUGAAAUCCCCGGGCUCAACCUGGGAACUGCAUUUGUGACUGUAUAGCUAGAGUACGGCAGAGGGGGAUGGAAUUCCGCGUGUAGCAGUGAAAUGCGUAGAUAUGCGGAGGAACACCGAUGGCGAAGGCAAUCCCCUGGGCCUGUACUGACGCUCAUGCACGAAAGCGUGGGGAGCAAACAGGAUUAGAUACCCCAGUAGUCCCUGUCUCUUAUACC